rnacentral:rRNA from 1 species
UACGGAGGAUCCGAGCGUUAUCCGGAUUUACUGGGCGUAAAGGGAGCGUAGGCGGACUUUUAAGUGAGAUGUGAAAUACCCGGGCUCAACUUGGGUGCUGCAUUUCAAACUGGAAGUCUAGAGUGCAGUAGAGGAUAAUGGAAUUCCUAGUGUAGCGGUGAAAUGCGUAGAGAUUAGGAAGAACACCAGUGGCGAAGGCGAUUCUCUGGACUGUAACUGACGCUGAGGCUCGAAAGCGUGGGGAGCAAACAAGAUUAGAUACCCU